UCCAAAUUCUAUCUAGUUUUCCUUGGUUCCUAGAUUCUGUCAUGCAAAAUGAAAACCAGAAUCCCCUGCCUGCAUGGCCUGGGAUGGGAACUAAGGCUUUUACUCUAUCCGGGGUUUCUGCCUUACGUCUUUUUUUUUCUUUUUUGGCCAUGCGACACGGCAUGUGGGAUCUUAGUUCUCCGACCAGAGAUCAAACCCGUGCCCCCUGCAGUGGAAGCACAGAGUCCUAACCACUGGGCCACCAGGGAAUUCCCUGCCUUACCUCUCAAGGCCAGAAUUACAAUGGUUGGAGGAGGGGAAUCAGAGCUCCCCCACUACCUACCAGGAGGAAUAAAAAUCUUUUCCUCCAAAUCCCGGAUUUCUUUUGAUCACUGACUCUGGUUUCUUUCACCUUUAAACUUUUCUGCUCUUAACACUCCAUAAACCACGCACUGACAAGAGGUCGUCUUGUACAAGAAGCAGCUGAGUGAACGUGCCCUCCUUGCUGGUAAGGACUCUGCCAGCCCUGGUUCAUCCUACCCUUCUCUCCCCCUAGUUCUGACAGAGGACAAGCCAACUGGUUGUUGAAUGAGUGAGUGAAUGAAUUAAUGAAUGCAGGCCAUUUUUACUGGGACUGGUGGCAAAACAUCCAAAGAGAAAACUGAAAGGGGAAGACAAACACAUUUGCUCACAAUUGAAGUUCACUUUCCAAAUUUUUUAGCAACAAAUAAUAGAGCAACUCCAAAAAAUGUGAACUGAGUUCAAAGCAGCUCCAGUAAGAAUUGCAGCUUGCUGUCUGAGUGGGUCAGGUUCCUGGAUGCCAUCGCCCAGCCCUUUGGUACAACAUGCUACGUAGCCCUGGCAUCACAGAUCUGCUUCUCGGCCCUUCCAUGACUCGUGGUUCACACCCAGAGCUCUCUUCAUAUCUUUUCCCAUUAGCUUUCAGAGGUUCUCAUUAUAGUAGGACUGUCUCCAUUCCCAGAAGCAGAUGCACAGCCUAGCCGAUCCCUGGAUUGUAAAAAAGAACAAUACUACAAAGGAAGACGACCCCAAAUGAGGCUCUGCAGUCCUCAUACCCAGCAGCAACCAAGAAAGGCGUGGUUCUUUGUCUGGAACAGAUGCUCACCCCACACCCCCAAAAAACUGCUUGGUCCAAAAGAUGGAGAAGAUGAGCAACAGAGUGACGCUGAGGAUGACAGCCAGCAGACCCUAGACCUCUGCCACUGCUUCGGGACAGGGAAGAGGAAGUGAAGACAUGGAGGAGGAGGGUGGAACAGCUCUGGCUGAAGCUCGGAUACUUUGCCAAAGAUCCUCACCAAUGAAUGCCUCCCUCUGUGGACAAUUCGUCCUUUCUACGAGCAGUCAUUGAGUUAAUGAGAGCUCGCCACAUGCCAGGUGAGAUCACCAGGGAAGCUUUCUCCAGAGAGAUGAUAUGAAAGCCAAGACCAGAGGAUGAGAAGAAUCCAGCCCUGCAGGGUGGAAGAAGAGCAUUCGAGCUCAAGGGAACAGCACGUGUCAAAGCCUUAAGGCUUCUGUUUUCUGAAGUUCCAUGGCCAAAGCUGUAAAGGGAUGCUCAAGAGGAGGGAUGAUCACUGUUGAAUCAGCACCUGGGCCCUUAUCUGCCAUGGUCACCUCAGGCCUUGUCUGUGGCUUCAGAGUCUGUCGCCAGGAGGGACUCUGGCCACUUAACCACCAACGACUCACUCUCAAGCCAGGACAUCCCAAUACCACCCCAAAGACAUCGCCUCAGUCUGUGAGCAGGUCAGUCAGCCAAAUAUCCAUUGUCUGUAGCAUCACCCCAAUACUUUCAACCUCCAGAGGAGAGAGGUGAAGAACUAGCAUUUUUAUAGGACUUCCCAGUUUACAAAGGGCCUCAGUCCUGGCCGGGGUCUAAGUGUGGUAACUCACAUCUUGAUGGUAUAAUUUGCCUUUUGCAAUUUUUUUUUCCAUUUGCAUAGACCAUUUGAUUCUGUAAAACCACCCUCUGAAGGAAGCAGGAUCAGGAGUCGACAGUGUGCAGCUAUGGAACCAGACUUUUUUGCUGUGAGGUCUUAGACAAAUGGCUUAACCUCUCCGAGCUUUGUUUUCCUCUGUAAUAUAGGCUAAUGAUCUCACCUUAUGAGCUUGCUGUGAGGAGGGGAUAAUGACUGUUACGUGCCCAGCAAAGCACAGCAGAUGCUCAAUACACAGGUAGCAUGCUAUUUUUACAUUCAUUUUAUAGAUGGGAACAUCAAGGCUCAGAAUGGUGAAGUGACUUGCCCAGGGCUUCACAGCUAAAGAAUGGCUGAGCUUGAAAGAUGAUCCCAGGAGCCCUGCCUCCCAGGACAGCGUUCACCCGGUCGGUGGACGAUGCUGCCUCUCAGGAUGCAGGGCCCUGUGAGCCGUCCCUCCACGACCCUCCCUGGUUCCUUACCUGCUCCCUUGGUGCCUCCUCCACCUCCUCCAGCUCCUUUGCCUAGCACGGCCCUGCAGCAUGUGCUCUGGGCUCUGACUUCUCCCGGCCUGGUUUCCAGGCAGCUGUGGGCGUGCCUCAUUUGCAUGGUCUUCAGGAAGCUCUUGGCCAGCUCUCCAUCUCAGGACUUUCUCUCCUUCCCUCUGCUGCCUUUGGACUGUCUGAGCCUACCAGGGACAGCCUGGAAGCUUUGGUUUCAUCUUCCUCCUAUAAGGAAUCAGAAGCUCAAAGCAAGUAAGGGGUUUACCCAAGAGCUCAUGAGAAGCAAGUUAAAGAGCUGGGACUGCAAGAGACAGAGGGAUGCCUCAAGGCAUGACCUGGUGGCCUGGAAUUCCCUCUCAGACCUAGAACGCCCUGCUUUCCAGUAUCACUUCUGGUUAACUAAGGUUAGUGAGAAUUCAAG